rnacentral:rRNA from 1 species
GUCCACUGCCGCACCACCGUGAACGCGCCUGAUCUCGUCUGAUCUUGAAAGCCAAGCGGGGUCCAGCCUGGUUAGUACUUGGAUGGGAAAAACGGCUUUCUUGAACACCUUCCGGUUUGGUCGUGGGUG